UACAGAGGUCUCAAGCGUUGUUCGGAAUUACUGGGCGUAAAGGGCGCGUAGGCGGUCAGGUCAGUCCCGUGUGAAAUCCCUCGGCUCAACUGAGGAACUGCACGGGAAACUACCUGGCUUGAGUUCGGGAGAGGGAAGCGGAAUUCCGGGUGUAGCGGUGAAAUGCGUAGAUAUCCGGAGGAACACCGGUGGCGAAGGCGGCUUCCUGGACCGACACUGACGCUGAGGCGCGAAAGCUAGGGGAGCAAACGGG
rnacentral:rRNA from 1 species